UACAACGGUAAACAUUGCGUCGUAGAAACAUUUGCGUAAUUUCCAUUCACAAUUUGUAGUGCUAGUGCUUUAGAAUCUUUUUCGGGUGUUUUCUUCGUUUUUUCUGUUCAGUUGAACCUUUCGAUAUACCUAACACCAGGUACCUAUUUUAACCACUCGAGCUGCUGAUUUUGUUAAGUUCAACUGAUCUGAGCAGUGAGCCUUGUGCCAAAACAAUUGACGUUAGUUCAGUAGCAUUCAAAUCAUUCAGAAAGCGAGUUGAUUCAAAAGUUAUUCUCUCACAUACUCGAUACUCUCGGUUCAAACUGAACUUAUUCGACAUCAAUGUGAAGCUUGUUUUUUAAAAACCGAGUGAUAGUGUGCAGUGGAAAAUAAGUUCACUCAUUGGAGAUAAUAUUCAGGUAUCGUUCCCGCGCUGAAAUUCUGUGCCACCUAACGGAAUAAAACGUAACUGCGCGAAUUUUGUGGGCAGGCAAGAUAAGAUAAUAUAUGAAAUAAUAAGGAAAACAAUGUUUAUUACGAAAUAAGUGUCAGUUGUGGACUGACAUUAGAUGCAGUGCUUUGUGAGACUCUUUCUUAAAUACAUGCAUCAAAGCUGUUUUAUAUAAUAUUCUUAAAAUGCCAAUUCCGUUGCAAACCAUAACAUUUGGAGCUAUGGUCGUUGUAGCCGUAGGUACUGCAAUUUAUUAUUAUUUCGCAAAUAAUCCAAACAAUAUGCAUUCACAUGACGAAUCCGUUUAUGGGGAAUUACCUCAUCACGUUCCACCCGUAUCUUCAGUCGACGACCGACGGCGUUCUCGAAGGAAAACAAACGACAAUCCAAGAGAGUGCUCGAUUUGUUUAGAUACUUUAAAAAUAUCCAAAACUCGAAGCCUAUGUUGUGGACACAUUUUUCAUGACCGCUGCGUUAGUAAGUGGAUUAGCAGCCAACAACCAAGACCUACCUGUCCUGUAUGUCGACGAAGUGUACUCUAACAAUAUUUCAUAAGAAAUUACUAAUCUAUUAUAUGUAUUCAAUUUUCUAAUAUGUUUUGCUAUAAAUGAUUGAAAAAUU